GACUGGUAUAGCUCAGUCGGUAGAGUUUGAGACUCUCAAUCUCAGGGUUGUGGGUUCGAGUCCCACGCUAGGCA